rfam:Pedobacter steynii strain DX4, complete genome.
AAGGGGAAAGCCGAAAACCCUGAACAGAGUAGGCC